rnacentral:rRNA from 1 species
CCCUUAGAUGUUCUGGGCCGCACGCGCGCUACACUGACGAAGUCAGCGAGCAUGUCCUACGCCGACAGGUGCGGGGAAUCUUGUCAAACUUCGUCGUGAUGGGGAUUGAUUAUUGAAAUUCUUGAUCAUCAACGAGGAAUUCCUAGUAAGCGCAAGUCAGCAGCUUGCGUUGAUUACGUCCCUGCCCUUUGUACACACCGCCCGUCGCUACUACCGAUUGAAUGUUCCGGUGAGCUCUUCGGACUGCGCGGUCUGCAGUUUCUGCGUUCCGUGCGGAAAGUUGCGCAAACCUUAACAUUUAGAGGAAGGAGAAGUCGUAACA